UACGUGGGGUGCAAGCGUUAAUCGGAAUUACUGGGCGUAAAGCGUGCGCAGGCGGUUAUGCAAGACAGAUGUGAAAUCCCCGGGCUUAACCUGGGAACCGCAUUUGUGACUGCAUAGCUGGAGUACGGCAGAGGGGGAUGGAAUUCCGCGUGUAGCAGUGAAAUGCGUAGAUAUGCGGAGGAACACCGAUGGCGAAGGCAAUCCCCUGGGCCUGCACUGACGCUCAUGCACGAAAGCGUGGGGAGCAAACAGG
rnacentral:rRNA from 1 species